GACGAACGCUGGCGGCGUGCCUAAUACAUGCAAGUAGAACGCUGAAGGAGGAGCUUGCUUCUCUGGAUGAGUUGCGAACGGGUGAGUAACGCGUAGGUAACCUGCCUGGUAGCGGGGGAUAACUAUUGGAAACGAUAGCUAAUACCGCAUAAUAGUAGAUGUUGCAUGACAUUUGCUUAAAAGGUGCAAUUGCAUCACUACCAGAUGGACCUGCGUUGUAUUAGCUAGUUGGUGGGGUAACGGCUCACCAAGGCGACGAUACAUAGCCGACCUGAGAGGGUGAUCGGCCACACUGGGACUGAGACACGGCCCAGACUCCUACGGGAGGCAGCAGUAGGGAAUCUUCGGCAAUGGACGGAAGUCUGACCGAGCAAAGCCGCGUGAGUGAAGAAGGGUUUCGGAUCGUAAAGCUCUGUUGUAAGAGAAGAACGAGUGUGAGAGUGGAAAGUUCACACUGUGACGGUAGCUUAACAGAAAGGGACGGCUAACUACGUG
rnacentral:rRNA from 1 species